rnacentral:rRNA from 1 species
AUGCUCAGGAUCAAGGACGAGGAUGGCCUUGAGUUCCCCAUCAGCACCACAAACAUCAAGGCAAUCAUAGUGGAUAUGUUCACGGGAGGGACCGAGACAACAUCAUCAGCCGCCGAGUGGAUCAUGUCGGAGCUCAUGCGAAACCCGGAGGUGAUCGCGAAGGCGCAGGCCGAGGUGCGACAAACACUCGACAACAAGAACCCACGAGACCAGGAGAGCCUCAUAGAGGGGCUGUGCUACACGAGGAUGGUGGUGAAGGAGGGCUUGAGGCUGCACCCGGUGCUGCCGCUCCUGCUCCCACGUGUCUGCCGGGAGACCUGCGACGUCGGCGGAUUCGAGGUCACGGAGGGCACCAGGGUCAUGGUUAACGCGUGGGCGAUAGCGAGGAGCGCCGAACAUUGGCACGACGCGGAGGAGUUUAGGCCGGAGAGUUCGUGGAUAGCACGGCGACAGACUACACCGGCACGCGGUACGAGUAUUUGCCGUUCGGCAGCGGGAGGAGGAUGUGCCCCGGCGGCAACUUUGCGAUGGCCACGCUGGAGCUCACUGUGGCACGGCUUCUCUACUACUUCGACUGGAGCCUCCCGAACGGGAUUCGACCGGAGGAGCUCGACAUGGACAUGA